rnacentral:lncRNA from 1 species
CAUCAAUUUCUGUUGCAGCGUGCAACCCGCUCUCACAAUAUAUUCAUAUUCUAUUUUGUUGCAGCGUGCAAGCUCCUCCAAUAUAUUCAUUUUAAUUAAGUCCAUUGCGGCGUGCAACCCGAUCCUCCAAUAUGGACUUUUAAUAAGUCUGUUGCGGCGUGCAAUCUGAUCCUCCAAUAUGGACUUUUUAAUAAGUUUGUUGUGGCGUGUAACCCGAUCCUCCAAUAUAUUCAUUUCAAUCAAUUCUGUUGCGGCGUGAAACCCGCUCCUCCAAUAUAUUCAUUUACCAAUUCUUAUAGAAGGAAUUUCCCCAAUAAAUGCAACAAUUAAUAUGAAAUUAUAAGAUAACAAGCAUACAAUAAUUAUGAUUUAAUCAUGAAACAAACAAUGUCAAAUAGCAAAUUAUUAUAGAAAUCAGGGAGAAAAUAGGUUGUUUAAUAUUUAAUAUGCUAAA